rnacentral:rRNA from 1 species
UACGUAGGGUGCAAGCGUUGUCCGGAAUCAUUGGGCGUAAAGCGCGCGUAGGUGGCUUCGUAAGUCCGUUGUGAAAGUCAAAGGCUCAACCUUUGAAAGCCGAUGGAUACUGCGGAGCUAGAGUACGGAAGAGGCGAGUGGAAUUCCUGGUGUAGCGGUGGAGUGCGCAGAUAUCAGGAGGAACACCAAUAGCGAAGGCAGCUCGCUGGGACGUUACUGACACUAAGGCGCGAAAGCGUGGGGAGCGAACAGG